UACGUAGGGGGCGAGCGUUGUCCGGAUUUAUUGGGCGUAAAAGGCUUGUAGGUGGCCACGCCAAGUCGGAUGUGAAAUCUCCCGGCUCAACUGGGAGGGGUCAUUCGAUACUGGCGGGCUCGAGGCCGGUAGGGGGAAGUGGAAUUCCCGGUGUAGUGGUGGAAUGCGCAGAUAUCGGGAGGAACACCGGUGGGCGAAGGCGGUUCUCUGGGCCUGUACUGACGCUGAGGAGCGAAAGCGUGGGGAGCGAACAGG
rnacentral:rRNA from 1 species